UACGGAGGGUGCGAGCGUUGUCCGGAAUCACUGGGCGUAAAGGGCGCGUAGGCGGCUUUUUAAGCGUGCGGUGAAAGCCCGGGGCUCAACCCCGGGUCGGCCGUGCGAACUGGAAAGCUCGAGCCCACUAGAGGCAGGCGGAAUUCCGGGUGUAGCGGUGGAAUGCGUAGAGAUCCGGAAGAACACCGGUGGCGAAGGCGGCCUGCUGGGGUGGAGCUGACGCUGAGGCGCGACAGCGUGGGGAGCGAACAGG
rnacentral:rRNA from 1 species